AGUGAACGCUGGCGGUAGGCCUAACACAUGCAAGUCGAACGGCAGCACAGUAAGAGCUUGCUCUUACGGGUGGCGAGUGGCGGACGGGUGAGGAAUACAUCGGAAUCUACUUUUUCGUGGGGGAUAACGUAGGGAAACUUACGCUAAUACGGCAUACGACCUACGGGUGAAAGCAGGGGAUCUUCGGACCUUGCGCGAUUGAAUGAGCCGAUGUCGGGUUAGCUAGUUGGCGGGGUAAAGGCCCACCAAGGCGACGAUCCGUAGCUGGUCUGAGAGGAUGAUCAGCCACACUAGAACUGAGACACGGUCCAGACUCCUACGGGAGGCAGCAGUGGGGAAUAUUGGACAAUGGGCGCAAGCCUGAUCCAGCCGUACCGCGUGGGUGAAGAAGGCCUUCGGGUUGUAAAGCCCUUUUGUUGGGAAAGAAAAGCAGCAGGUUAAUACCCCGCUGUUCUGACGGUACCCAAAGAAUAAGCACCGGCUAACUUCGUG
rnacentral:rRNA from 1 species